GGAAGUAAAAAAUCGUAACAAGGUCUCCGUUGGUGAACCAGCGGAGGGAUCAUUACCGAGUUUACAACUCCCAAACCCAAUGUGAACGUUACCAAACUGUUGCCUCGGCGGGAUCUCUGCCCCGGGUGCGUCGCAGCCCCGGACCAAGGCGCCCGCCGGAGGACCAACCAAAACUCUUUUUGUAUACCCCCUCGCGGGUUUUUUAUAAUCUGAGCCUUCUCGGCGCCUCUCGUAGGCGUUUCGAAAAUGAAUCAAAACUUUCAACAACGGAUCUCUUGGUUCUGGCAUCGAUGAAGAACGCAGCGAAAUGCGAUAAGUAAUGUGAAUUGCAGAAUUCAGUGAAUCAUCGAAUCUUUGAACGCACAUUGCGCCCGCCAGUAUUCUGGCGGGCAUGCCUGUCCGAGCGUCAUUUCAACCCUCGAACCCCUCCGGGGGGUCGGCGUUGGGGAUCGGCCCUGCCUCUUGGCGGUGGCCGUCUCCGAAAUACAGUGGCGGUCUCGCCGCAGCCUCUCCUGCGCAGUAGUUUGCACACUCGCAUCGGGAGCGCGGCGCGUCCACAGCCGUUAAACACCCAACUUCUGAAAUGUUGACCUCGGAUCAGGUAGGAAUACCCGCUGAACUUAAGCAUAUCAAUAGGCGGAAGGAAA
rnacentral:rRNA from 1 species